GCUGCGGAGGCGCCGCGGCCGCCCGUGGCGUGCCGCUCUCCUUCGGGCGCCGUCGUUCCCGUUCGGCUCUGGGAGCCGGGCGAGCCCGCGUCAGACCGCGGGAGAACGGUCUUCGCAUCUUCAGAGCCCUGGGGCUCAGCCCAGCCAGGAGCUUCCCCGCCGCUUUCAGCCAGCGCGGCUCCCUCGGCCCUUACCCACCCGCCGCGAAUCCGACCGUGCUCGGCGGAGCGCCGGUCUGAGGCGCGUUCCGAUCGCGCGCGCUCCGCUGCGAUCAGGAAUUCGGAUGUAUCCAUCUGUCUGAGCACGACAAAGAGCCUGUCCCUGCAACAACUGCACCUGAGGAAUUUGAGGAGGAAGCCUAGCACAUCCUGCUGCAAUUUUAAACAGAUUUCUACUACCAUGGCUGAUCAAGUCAUACGGCGGCAUAGUGCUGUAGUUUAUGGAG
ensembl:lncRNA